rnacentral:lncRNA from 1 species
GGCCACACCUGCAGCAUAUGGAAGUUCUUGGACUAGGGGUCGAAUCAGAGCUGCUGCUGCCAGCCUGUGCCACAGCCAUGGCAACUUGAGAUCCAUGCCAGGUCUUCAACCUACACCACAGCUUGUGGCAACACCGGAUCCUUAACCCACUGAGUGAGGCCAGGAAUCAAUCAAACCUGCUUCCUCACAGACAUUAUGUUGGAUUCUUAACCCACAUUCAUUUUUUGUGAAUGUAAUGUUCAGUUUUGAUUUGUAGCUGUGCCAUUUUUUAAGUAUGUUAACCCCUUCCUAUAACUGCUUGCUUUAGCCUGAUAGUCAUGUAGGCUCAAACACAUCAGUAAAAUUAAAAAAUAAUCUAUUUUUUCUUACUUCCCUUGCCCAUAUUGUAUGAUUUUUAUGUCCUUUUUUUUUUAACAUCUUCGUGAUUAGAUCUGUAUGCUGGCUUACUUAACUGAUUGUUUUCCAAUUGUGGUUUCCUCCAUCCUGGUUCUUCCUCUUUUUUUUUUUUUUUUUAAUUUAGAGAAGGCCUUUCAGUAUUUCUUUUAGAAUGGGUUUCAUACUGAUGCACUCUUUUAGCUUUUGCUUGUUGGAGAAAUUCUUUAUUUCCCCUUCUAUUUUAAAUGAUAUUCUUGCUGGAUAGAGUAUUAUAGGUUGCAGAUUUUUCCCUUUCAGUGCUUUAAAUAUAUGUUGCCAAUCCCUCCUGGCCUGUAGUGUUUCUGUAGAGAAAUCAGCUGAUAGCCUUAUUGGGGUUCCCUUAUAAUUGAAGCUUUGCUUUUCUCAUGCUGCCUUUAGAAUCCUCUCUUCAUCUUUAACUUUUGCCGUUUUUAUUAUAACACGUCUUGGUGUGGACCUGUUUGGGUUCACCUUGUUUGGGGCCCUCUGUGCUUCCUAUAUCUUGAUAUCAGUAUCCUUUAGAUUCAGAAAGUUUUCAGCCAUAAUUUCUUGAAAUAUAUUUUCAAUCCCCUUUUCUUUUUCUUCUCCUCCUGGAAUUCCUAUUUUGCAUAGAUUGGCCCACUUUAUGUCAUCCCAUGGGUCUCUUAUAUUGGGCUUUCGUGUUUUUUCAUUUGGUUUUCUGUCUGCUGUCCUGUUUGGGUGAUUUCCAUUAUUCUAUCUUCCACUAAUUCAUUCCUCUGCAUUAUUCAUUCUGGUCUUUAUUGCCUUUAGCUCAGUUUGUAUCUCUGCAAAUGAAUUUUCUAGUUUUUCUUGGCUCUUCCUUCUAUUUUCUAGUUCCUUUCUGAGGGAAUUUGCAUUACUAUUCAUAUCUUCUCUUAAUUCCUUCAGUGUUUUCACUAUUUCUCUUUUGAAUUCCAGGUCUGUCAGACUGAGGUCUGUUUCAUUGUUGACUGCUUUAGGUAAAAUCUCCUGUUGCUUUAACUGGGAAUGGUUUCUGAGCUUCUUCAUCUUGCUUGUGUUUUUCUUUUUCUGUGAAUUUGAGGAAGCCCAACUAGUUUGGCACAGUCCAGAGCAGGCCAGCAGGGGGCUUCCCUCGAGUGAGCAGGGGUGGCUAGGGCAUGGUGCACUGGUGGGGCACUUCCCAUGGGUGGUGGGCCCGGUCUGCCAUGAAUGGCAGGUGGCUUCUUGCUGCAGGGCAAAAUACUUUUUUAAAAAAAUGAAAAUGACACAAUCAUCCAAUAACUGGGGGUUGGGUAAAUAAUUUUUGGUACAUCCACAUGGUAGAAUAUUAUGCAGCCAUUAAAGAUCACCUUCGGGAAUUCCCAUUGUGGCUAAGUGGUAAUGAACCCUACUAGUAUUCAUGAAGAUGUGGGUUCAGUCCCUGGCCUUGGUCAGUGGGUUAAGGAUCUGGCAUUGCCAGGAGCUGCAGUGUAGGUCCCAGAUGCAGCUCAGAUCCACUGUUGUGAUGGCUGUGGUGUAGGCCAGCAGCUGCAGUUCUGAUUCAACCCCUAAUCGGGGAACUUCCACAUGCCGUGGGUGAGGCCCUGAAGAGAUGAAAAAAAAAGUUGCCUCGAAGUAAAUUAUCUUAUGGCAUUUAAUAGUGUUGGGUAAAAAUAAAACCAAACAGUAAAAUAAACAAUUUGAUUCCAGUUUUGAUGAGCAUAUAUAUUUGUGUAUAUAAUUAUAGAUGUCUAUAUAGAUAACAUAUGUAACUAUACAUAUAUAGAAUAGGUAUUAUAUAUACAUUCAUUACAUAUACACACACAUAGUAUAUGUAAUGUACAGUGCAUAUGUUAUAUAUAAUGUAUAUUUUGUGUACAUAAUAUCUGCUCCAGAAAGCAGAAAAUUUAGACAAAUCUGAUGACAAAAACAGGAUACGUCUCUGCUCUGCUCAGCCUGAAGGACUGGUUUUGAGCCCUCAGAGGAGGGAGGAGUUAGGACCAGAUAGCAAGGCAGCUCUUUGUUGAGAAUCUCUGUGUUUCAUGCUGUUUGGGGGAAAACAAAGGGCAGCACAACUAUUGAAGGCCCCUCCCUAUUCUACCUACAGAUUGUGGGGCAGAUUUGGGACACCCAGAGCUCAAGGAAGCCAGGUGCAAAGGAGAGGAAGCACAUACAGGUGUGGACCUGCCCCUGAGCUCAUGACUGCAACAUGACCUUGGGAAAUUCCUGAAACAGUGGGAGAGAUUUGGAGAGAAGGCAGAGGCCAUGCAUCAGCAAGUCCAAGCAGGAGCCCACAUACCAUAAAUGUUUAACUCUCUAGUGGCUCAAGUCUAAAUACAUUUGGUCCCAAUGUUAAGUACCAUGAAAAAUAUAUGCCCCCAGUCCCUUGGCCACAAAAAGAAAUAAAUUGUGGUUUCAGGGGUGGGAGUAGGAACAAGUUUGAUCCUUGAAAGUUUACAAAGAAGAGGUGGAAUUUAUGCUAAACACAGCAAAACAAGAAUUCCUAUUAAAAAGCAUUUGGCGGAUUUCCCUUUGUGGCUCAAUGGUAACAAAACUGACUAGUAUCCAUGAGGACACGGGUUUGAUCUCUGGCCUCACUCAGUGGGUUAAGGAUCUGGUGGUGCAGUGAGCUGUGGUGUAGGUCCUUGGGUCCUGCUUUGCUGUGGCUGUGGUCUAAGAAUACAGCUACAGUUCCGAGUCAACCCCUAGCCUGGGAACUUCCAUAUGCUACAGGAGUGGCCCUAAAAAGACAAAAAAAAAAAUAGACAUGGGGUGGGUGAAAGAGAAGCAAAGACAAAGGGGGGUCGGGAGGAAGCAGUGGGCAAAGUCAGAUGUGACCAGAGGGGAGUGCGGCAUGGCUAGUGUGGAAGAUAAGACUGGUAUUUGGAAGAAAGAGCAUGCCACAGGUCAGUUUGUCUUUAACUCUGUGGGUGAUAUGGCCAACUGGCCAUCCCCCAGCUCUUGUGACAUGACCCCAAGACAAGAGAGAUAUUUUAAAUGUCUACUUCAUCCCACCAUUCCCUCUCCCUUAAGAAGGAAAAGAAGGCAGAGCUACAGAGAAUGGCAGUGACUUCUUCCAAUCACACUGCGAUUUGGCACAAAACGAGGACCAAACCUCACAUUCACAUGUGCUGACUUGGGCUCUUUCAUUGCUAACAAAGUCUUAUAAUUGUUCAUAGUAGUCUCUUAUGACCAUUUGGAUUUCUGUGAUAUUAAUUGAAAUGUCUCCUCUUUAAUUACAGUUUUGUUUAUUGAGUCCUUUCUUCUAUCUCUGUCUAGCUAAAGGAUUGUCAAUUUUGUUUAUUUUUUCAAAAAGUUAACUCAGUGUUGUCAAUCUCAUCUAUUGUUUUUCUAUUACUGCUCUGAAAUUUUUUAUCUCCUUCCUUAUGUUAAGGAGGCCUUGGUCUUUUUCUAGUUUUUUUUUAUGUGCAGAAUUAGAUUAUUUGAGAUCUUUCUUUACUUUCAUUGUGGGCAUUUAUCACUAUAUACUUCCCUUUAGCACUGCUUUUGCUUCAUUCCAUAAGUUUUGGUAUAUUGUGUUCCUUUUUUUUGGUGUUUUUAAAGAUACUUUUUAUUUCCCUUUUGAUUUUAUCUUUGACACAUUGGUUUUUCAGGAGUGUGUUGCUUAAAUUCCACACACUUGUGAUUUUUCCUUUUAUCUCCUGUUAUUUUCUAAUUUCACACCAUUGUGGUCAGACAAGUUAAUGUGUAUGACUUCAGUCUUUAUAUUUGCUAAGAUGUGCUUUGUGACCUAACAUAUGAUCUUUCUUGAGACUGCCCUUGAGAAGAAUGUGUAUUCUGUUGCAAUUUAGAUAGAAAUUUCUAAAUGUUUGUUAGGUCCAUUUAGUCUAAAACAUAGUUCAAGCUCAAAAUUUCCUUAUCGAUUUUCUGUGUUGAUGAGCUAUCAAUUGUUGAAAGUGGAAUACUGAAGUCCUCUACAAUUAUUGCACUUGGCCUAUUACUCCCUUUAGAUAAGUUAGUAUUUGCCCAAUAUAUAUAUGCCUAGACUGGCUGCUGAUGCAUGUCCCAUUCUCUGGAGUGGGGAGGAAGUGAAGAGGGAGCCAGGCAGCCAGUGGCUGGGAAUAUGAAUACCUGUGGGACAAAAAAUAUAGCGAAAUCUUCUGGGGAUCCAUGGCAGCUGUGAUGGCCACAUGGUUCCUCAGUGGCAAAACUCUUGGGGUCCUCCACAGAGCAAGUCACUGGGAACUGUGGUCACUCCUGCUGUGUGACUGGUACUAGCGACUCCUUCUCUUCUUCCUUAUUCCCAGCCAUUUCUAUACAUCUAGCUUUGCCAGUCCCUAGGUAGGCUGAAACCGAAGUGGGUUCUCUGUGCAGGUUGAAAGUGUGUUGCUGACACUGCUCUCCCCUCCCCAGUGAGGGGAACCCUUUCUAGCUGGGGAGUCAUCCCCCACCGCACCCCCAGCGGUGCUGAGCAAUGUUGGCUCAAGGGAUGAGAUGAUGCAGAUGAGGAAACUGGGGCUCAGUGAGCAUAAAGAAUAUAACCAAGUGUGUUUAUUCAUUCUAUAAUGUUCCAGACCCUAUUCUAGGGGCUGCAGACACAGGAGGAAGGGAACACAGGAGGGAACAUUUCAACAUGGAAAGACAGACAGUAACCAUAUAAGACAAUUAAUUAUUUCAGUUAGAGGUAAAUGCUGUGUCAGCAAUAAAAGAGAGCGAUGUGGUAGAGUUGAGAAGGAGGUUCAUCAAGGAAACUCAUCAUCCAGGAAGGCCUCUCCCAGGAAAUGACUCCAAACUGAGCUCUAAAUGAUAGGAGGGAGUCAACCACAGAAGAGCAAUCCAGACACAGAGAACCCUAGUUUAUGUUAGCAUGAAGGCCCUGAGGCAGCACCAGCUGGAUGAGUUCAAGUAAAAGCUAGAAGGCCAGUGGACAUCAUGAAAACAUGGAUAGACCAGAGAUGAGCACACUAAGUGAAGUAAGCCAG